rnacentral:rRNA from 1 species
AUUGAACGCUGGCGGCAGGCCUAACACAUGCAAGUCGAGCGCGGGGCGGGCGGGUGAGUAGUAUCUGGGACUCCGCGUGAUGGAGGGGGAUAACCACGGGACAGGGUCGCUAAUACCGCAUACCAUGAGGUGCCCACAGAUGGGAUUAGCUAGUUGGUGGGGUAAGGGCACACCUAGGCGAAGAUCCCUAGCUGGUCUGAGAGGAGGACCGGCCACACUGGAACUGAGACACGGUCCAGACUCCUACGGGAGGCAGCAGUGGGGAAUAUUGCACAAUGGGCGCAAGCCUGAUGCAGCCAUGCCGCGUGUAUGAAGAAGGCCUUCGGGUUGUAAAGUACUUUCGGCGGGGAGGCGGUACCCGCAGAAUAAGCACCGGCUAACUACGUGCCAGCAGCCGCGGUAAUAC